UAUUACCGCGGCUGCUGGCACGGAGUUAGCCGGUGCUUCCUCACCCGGUACCGUCAGAGCGGUCGAAACCGCUUGUUCGUCCCGGGCAACAGGGGUUUACACACCGAAAAGCUUCAUCCCCCACGCGGCGUUGCUGCGUCAGGCUCUCGCCCAUUGCGCAAUAUUCCCCACUGCUGCCUCCCGUAGGAAUCUC
rnacentral:rRNA from 1 species